UCGAUGCCAGUAAAGUGGACACACUUCUGGGAAGCCUGGGGCUAAAUCUCACUCAAAAGGAGUUUGACGAUCUCAAAAGAAACCUGAAACUUGAUGAAAACCAGAAAGCGGAUAUCAAAAGGGUAAUAAGCGAAGCCAAACUCUUCACAGGCCAGAAAGUUGAUGCCAACAAACUUCAAGACAUUCUGAGAAGCUAUGGCAUUAACCUCAAUCCUAACGAAAUAGAAAACUUGAAAAAGA